GAUUAUGGCUCAGGAUGAACGCUAGCGACAGGCUAACACAUGCAAGUCGAGGGGCAGCAUAAAAGUAGCAAUACUUGGUGGCGACCGGCGCACGGGUGAGUAACGCGUAUGCAGCCUACCUAUCAGAGGGGAAUAACCCGGCGAAAGUCGGACUAAUACCGCAUAAAACAGGGGCACCGCAUGGUGAUAUUUGUUAAAGAAAUUCGCUGAUAGAUGGGCAUGCGUUCCAUUAGGUAGUUGGUGAGGUAACGGCUCACCAAGCCGACGAUGGAUAGGGGAACUGAGAGGUUGGUCCCCCACACUGGUACUGAGACACGGACCAGACUCCUACGGGAGGCAGCAGUGAGGAAUAUUGGUCAAUGGGCGGGAGCCUGAACCAGCCAAGUCGCGUGAAGGAAGAAGGAUCUAUGGUUCGUAAACUUCUUUUGCAGGGGAAUAAAGUGCAGGACGUGUCCUGUUUUGUAUGUACCCUGAGAAUAAGGAUCGGCUAACUCCGUGCCAGCAGCGGC
rnacentral:rRNA from 1 species